rnacentral:lncRNA from 1 species
GAUAGGUGGAAGUUAACGUAUAGACAUGGAGAACCCAUCGGUGGUUACCAGGGAAAGGGGGGGGGUGGGGGGAGGGCACAAAGGGUGAAGUGGUGUACCCACAACAUGACUAACAAUAAUGUACAACUGAAAUCUCACAAGGUUGUAAUCUAUCAUAAUCUUAAUAAAAUAAAUAAAUAAAUAAAUAAAAAAUAAACCUCUUAAAAUGAAAGGCACCUCUUUGCCCAGAGAUUAAAACAAUAUAAAGUUGCUGAAGAUAAAACAGAUUAAGAGCUACAAGUUUUGGAGUCAGAACUACGUGUACAUAUUUCAUUGGCAAAAACGGGCUAUUAUUUGGUACAUUUGAUGUCUGUCUCCAUCAUUACGCUCUCAGUGAAUUAAGAGGCCUCACUUCGUGGAGCUGGUUCUCAGCAGCUGCCACUAACGUCCAGGUGGGCUGGGCACCAGCCCGAGAACAUUCCCCUUUCACAGCCGCCUCUCCGCAGCCUCAGGGCUCAGCAGGGAGACAAACACAGGUGCUGGGCCAGGAGGCCACCCGGCUAUGUCUUCACCCACUGAUGGGGUCCUGCACCAGGCUUGUGCAGUGCAGAUGGCAGUGCACGGAGUGUCCACCGUUCCUCAUCCUCACCAGCACUUGCUGCCAUCGCACUUGGGCAUUUUUGUCAAUGUAAUGAGUAUAAAAUGACUUCUCCUCGUGGUUGCAGUUUGCAUUUCCUUGGUUAUCUGAGAGGGUGAGCAACUUAUGUGUGUACUGACUGCCAGGUGACUUUUUUUUUUAAGAAACGGGGUACAGAGUUGGGCUCUUGUUCUGUUCUUGCCCCUAAAUGACCACGUGGGCUUGAGGAGGGGUUGCUCCUCUCUCUGGGCCCCAGAUGUUUUCUGUGUCAGUGAAGGGGCUGGCCAUCUCCCACUGA